CCCUUAGAGUUUGAUCCUGGCUCAGAUUGAACGCUGGCGGCAGGCCUAACACAUGCAAGUCGAGCGGUAACAGAUUGAUAGCUUGCUAUCAAUGCUGACGAGCGGCGGACGGGUGAGUAAUGCCUGGGAAUAUGCCCUGAUGUGGGGGAUAACUAUUGGAAACGAUAGCUAAUACCGCAUAAUCUCUUCGGAGCAAAGAGGGGGACCUUCGGGCCUCUCGCGUCAGGAUUAGCCAGGUGGGAUUAGCUUGUUGGUGGGGUAAUGGCUCACCAAGGCAACGAUCCCUAGCUGGUCUGAGAGGAUGAUCAGCCACACUGGAACUGAGACACGGGGCAGACUCCUACGGGAGGCAGCAGUGGGGAAUAUUGCACAAUGGGGGAAACCCUGAUGCAGCCAUGCCGCGUGUAUGAAGAAGGCCUUCGGGUUGUAAAGUACUUUCAGUUGUGAGGAAGGCAGUAAAGUUAAUAGCUUUGCUGUUUGACGUUAGCAACAGAAGAAGCACCGGCUAACUCCGUGCCAGCAGCCGCGGUAAUACGGAGGGUGCGAGCGUUAAUCGGAAUUACUGGGCGUAAAGCGCAUGCAGGUGGUCUGUUAAGCAAGAUGUGAAAGCCCGGCGCUCAACCUCGGAACAGCAUUUUGAACUGGCAGACUAGAGUACUGUAGAGGGGGGG
rnacentral:rRNA from 1 species